rnacentral:rRNA from 1 species
AUUGAACGCUGGCGGCAGGCCUAACACAUGCAAGUCGAGCGGAUGAGGGUAGCUUGCUACCUGAUUCAGCGGCGGACGGGUGAGUAAUGCCUAGGAAUCUGCCCGAUAGUGGGGGACAACGUUUCGAAAGGAACGCUAAUACCGCAUACGUCCUACGGGAGAAAGUGGGGGAUCUUCGGACCUCACGCUAUCGGAUGAGCCUGGGUCGGAUUAGCUAGUUGGUGAGGUAAUGGCUCACCAAGGCUACGAUCCGUAACUGGUCUGAGAGGAUGAUCAGUCACACUGGAACUGCGACACGGUCCAGACUCCUACGGGAGGCAGCAGUGGGGAAUAUUGGACAAUGGGCGAAAGCCUGAUCCAGCCAUGCCGCGUGUGUGAAGAAGGUCUUCGGAUUGUAAAGCACUUUAAGUUGGGAGGAAGGGCUGUAGGCUAAUAUCCUGCAGUUUUGACGUUACCAACAGAAUAAGCACCGACUAACUUCGUGCCAGCAGCCGCCGUAACAC